rnacentral:tmRNA from 1 species
GGGGGCGACCUGGCUUCGACGGGGGUUGCGAAGCGGAUGAGGGCAUACCGGGAUUUCAGUUACCCCGUAAAACGCUGAAUUUUUUUAGUCGCAAACGACGAAACUUACGCUCUAGCCGCCUAACGGUGGCUAGACACUGCAACGGUUCGCUGAUGGGCCGGGUGGGUCAAACUACUGCAGUGUCAUUUUACAUCAGCUAGCUCUGUGCCGGGUCGCUUGGCCCAGAGCGAAACUCAAGGCGACUCGCCUAUGCUCAGCCUGCCCGUCGGCGGAGUAGCAGGUUAAAUCCAAAUGACACGGCUAAGUAUGUAGAACUCACCGUAGAGGAUUUCCGGACGCGGGUUCGAUUCCCGCCGCCUCCACCA